GCUGCAACUCGCCUACAUGAAGUCGGAAUUGCUAGUAAUCGCGGAUCAGCAUGCCGCGGUGAAUACGUUCCCGGGCCUUGUACACACCGCCCGUCACACCAUGGGAGUCGGUAACACCCGAAGCCUGUAGUCUAACCGCAAGGGGGACGCAGUCGAAGGUGGGAUUGAUGACUGGGGUGAAGUCGUAACAAGGUAAC
rnacentral:rRNA from 1 species